UACGGAGGGGGCUAGCGUUGUUCGGAAUUACUGGGCGUAAAGCGCACGUAGGCGGCUUUGUAAGUUAGAGGUGAAAGCCCGGGGCUCAACUCCGGAAUUGCCUUUAAGACUGCAUCGCUAGAAUUGUGGAGAGGUAAGUGGAAUUCCGAGUGUAGAGGUGAAAUUCGUAGAUAAUUCGGAAGCAACACCAGUGGCGGAAGGCGACUUACUGGACACAUAUUGACGCUGAGG
rnacentral:rRNA from 1 species